CUUUCCCUCUUUCUUCCUGCUUUACACAUGCAAGUCGAACGGUAACAGGCCGCAAGGUGCUGACGAGUGGCGAACGGGUGAGUAAUGCAUCGGAACGUGCCCAGUCGUGGGGGAUAACUACUCGAAAGAGUAGCUAAUACCGCAUACGAUCUAUGGAUGAAAGCGGGGGACCGUAAGGCCUCGCGCGAUUGGAGCGGCCGAUGUCAGAUUAGGUAGUUGGUGGGGUAAAGGCUCACCAAGCCAACGAUCUGUAGCUGGUCUGAGAGGACGACCAGCCACACUGGGACUGAGACACGGCCCAGACUCCUACGGGAGGCAGCAGUGGGGAAUUUUGGACAAUGGGCGCAAGCCUGAUCCAGCAAUGCCGCGUGCAGGAAGAAGGCCUUCGGGUUGUAAACUGCUUUUGUACGGAACGAAACGGCUCUGGUUAAUACCCGGGGCUAAUGACGGUACCGUAAGAAUAAGCACCGGCUAACUACGUG
rnacentral:rRNA from 1 species